UUACCGACCGAUAGUGAACUAGUACCGUGAGGGAAAGAUGAAAAGUACCCCGAUGAGGGGAGUGAAACAGUACCUGAAACCGGAUGCUUACAAGCUGAUGGAGCUCUUCGGAGUGACAUCGUACCUUUUGUAUAAUGGGUCAACGACUUAGUGUUGUAUGCAAGCUUAAGCCGUUAGGUGUAGGCGCAGCGAAAGCGAGUCUGAAUAGGGCGACCGAGUAUGCAGCAUUAGACCCGAAGGCAAGUGAUCUAGGUAUGGGCAGGGUGAAGGUGCAGUAACAUGCACUGGAGGCCCGAACCGUUGCACGUUGAAAAGUGCUCGGAUGACCUGUGCCUAGGGGUGAAAGGCCAAUCAAACUCGGAAAUAGCUGGUUCUCCGCGAAAUC
rnacentral:rRNA from 13 species